UGGGAGAGGUCGAAUAAAGAAGGAGCA
rnacentral:piRNA from 1 species